rnacentral:rRNA from 1 species
AGCGAACGCUGGCGGCAGGCCUAACACAUGCAAGUCGAACGAACUCUUCGGAGUUAGUGGCGGACGGGUGAGUAACACGUGGGAACGUGCCUUUAGGUUCGGAAUAACUCAGGGAAACUUGUGCUAAUACCGAAUGUGCCCUUCGGGGGAAAGAUUUAUCGCCUUUAGAGCGGCCCGCGUCUGAUUAGCUAGUUGGUGAGGUAAAGGCUCACCAAGGCGACGAUCAGUAGCUGGUCUGAGAGGAUGAUCAGCCACAUUGGGACUGAGACACGGCCCAAACUCCUACGGGCGGCAGCAGUGGGGAAUCUUGCGCAAUGGGCGAAAGCCUGACGCAGCCAUGCCGCGUGAAUGAUGAAGGUCUUAGGAUUGUAAAAUUCUUUCACCGGGGACGAUAAUGACGGUACCCGGAGAAGAAGCCCCGGCUAACUUCGUG